rnacentral:rRNA from 1 species
CUACGGGGCGCAGCAGUGAGGAAUAUUGCACAAUGGGGGGAACACUGAUGCAGCAACGCCGCGUGGAGGAUGACGCAUUUCGGUGUGUAAACUCCUUUUAUAUGUCAAGAAAAUGACGGUAGCAUAUGAAUAAGUACCGGCUAACUCCGUGCCAGCAGCCGCGGUAAUACGGAGUGGUGCAAGCGUUACUCGGAAUCACUGGGCGUAAAGGACGCGUAGGCGGGCUUGUAAGUCAGGUGUGAAAUCCUACAGCUUAACUGUAGAACUGCACUUGAAACUACGAGCCUAGAGUAUGGGAGGGGGAGAUGGAAUUAGUGGUGUAGGGGUAAAAUCCGUAGAUAUCACUAGGAAUACCUAAAGCGAAGGCGAUCUCCUGGAAUAUAACUGACGCUAAGGCGUGAAAGCGUGGGGAGCAAACAGGAUUAGAUACCCCGGUAGUC